UCCACACCCAUGUGUGUAGGACUCCAAAGGAUCACCAUUAAAUUUGGCACAUAUCUCUAGCAAAGUUAUCACUUGGGUAUGAGACUUUACUUUUCUAGGGAUCUGUGCCAAAUUUAAUGGCGAUCCUUUGUGGUCCUACAUACAUGGGUGUGGG
rnacentral:pre_miRNA from 1 species